rfam:Capsicum annuum cultivar Zunla-1 chromosome 6, whole genome shotgun sequence
GCCUUGGUAGUGAAUGGUAGACACGCAAGACUCAAAAUCUCGUUCUAAAGAGCAUGGAGGUUCGAGUCCUCUUCAAGGCA